CAUAAUGCCUUCAAGGUCCAUCCAUGCAGGAUUUCCUUCUUUCUCAUGGCUAAAUAAUGUUCCACUGUAUGUCGAUACAUACCCAGAAGUAGGAUUGCUGGAUCCUAUUAGGAUCAUCUGGUAGUUUUGGUUUUUUUUGUUUGUUUGUUUUGUUUUUGUUGUUGUUGUUGUUGUUGCCUUUUAUUUUCCAAACUAGAUGAAAACAAUGAACUUAGAUAUCCAAGAUACAGCAAAUCUCAUACAGAAGAAAAAUACACUAAGAUGCUCCAUAAAUUGCUUAAAACGAAAUAAAGAAAAAAAAUCUUAAAAGUAGCUAGAGGGGGAAAAAGAUGUAUAUUUCUCAUUGCAAUAAAUGCAAAAUAGAAAUAUAAUCUAAAAACAUUGUUUAAGUGCCGAAAAAUAAGAACUGUCACCCUAGAAUUUUUUACCUAGUGAAAAUAUCUUGAUGUGAUGUAACACCAUUUGAAAGUAGACUGACAAGUAUUAUAUGUAUGCUAUAAACUCUAAAGCAACAACUAAAACAGCAUAGAGUUAUUGCUUAUAAGCCAACGAAGGAGAAGGAGAUAAAAAAAAUCCUUGAUUGAUCCAAGAGUAGGCUGAAAAAGAGAGAAAAGAGAACAAAGGACAGAUGAAAUUUGGCACUGUUAGAACAGUGCCAAACUAUUUACCCUAUCCUAAGUAAUACAGGUGAAUAAGUAGGCAAAGAGGUGGAUAUGAUAUAGAUGGUGGGAGUGGGUGGUAGGUAAGUAGAUGGGUAAGUGAAAAGUUGAAGGUCAUGGAGUGCAUACAUUUAUCUCCAGGUCUUAGAUUCUUCCAGAGUCUGGGGGGCCUUGACCUUGGUUCCUGAUAUACCUAGUGACUACUUAAUUUCAGCCUAUUUUCUUCCCUGGGAAAGACCUGUAAGGAGAUGUAUCAUGAAAGAUGGAUUGAAUUUAGACACCAAGAAAGAGAAGGGGAUGGUUUUUCAGGAAAAGAUAAAAGAUAAGCAAAGAUAGUAGAGAAAAAAAAAAUCAGAGACAGCUAGAAUACCCAUAGGAAUUGAAAGAAGGUAUAGGAUCAGGAGGGUAUGAAAGCAAAAAAAGUUGAAUGCCUAACCCUAGUACAGUUACUUCAAUGACUGCUAUUACUGUUAGUUUAUUGAGUAGUUACUAUGUUCCAUAAGGUUUGCUAGAGGUGGUACAUAUCUUGUAGCUACCCUCUGAAGUUGGUAUUAUUACCCUAAUGUUAUAUGUAAGUAUAUUAACAAAAAGAGAUAGAUUAACAUGGCUAUGGACACAUAGUGGGUAAAUGUCUCAGCUGGAAUUCAAACCUGGACGAGGGUGACCCCAAUCUGGUCCUUUUGUUGCCUCAUGGAAACAAUCUUCUCCCUGGGUGGACUAUGUAGUAGUUUGAGAGGUCUUACUAUCUUCAUAGGCCCUCCACCUUGGGAUGCUAUAUUUUCUUCAGGACUUGUGAUCCUUAGAAAUAAGUCCAAAAACGUCGUUUGACCUGGGGUGGUCCUGGUACUGGGCCUCAGAAACUCAGGAAACAGAGAGUGAGUACCUUAAAGGGGGCACGGCUUUCUCUCAUCAGUCUUGCUCACUCUGGGCAAGAGUCCCCCUCCUCUUAGGGACCCUGGAGAUUGGGGGAGAGCUUUCUGUACUGGCUUUGAAUCCCAGGUCUCACCAGAUGUAUGACCCCAGACUAAUCCCUUUAUUAUUCUGAGCCUCAGUUUCUUUUAUAUAUAUAUAUUGGUGUUCAAUUUGCCAACAUAUAGAAUAACACCCAGUGCUCAUCCCAUCAAGUUGAGCCUCAGUUUCUUUAUUUGUAAAAAGAGACUAUAGGUCUUAGCUCUUGGAUGAGCAGGUGUUAUCAAAUGCUCCACCAAGCUGGGUCAUUUCUCCCUUAAACAAACAAACAAACAAACAAACAGACAAACAAAAACAGUGAGAGGCUGGGAGGGGUGGCUGGCAUCAUGCAGGGACUGGCUCUGGUUGCACUGAACUCAGGGUGCUAAGAUAAAGUGAGAGGAGACAGGAUAGGGACAGCCUUUAACCUCAGACAGUGCAGGGUUCUGUUCCCCGCUCUGCCACCUACUGGCUGUACUUGCACUUUGUAUAAGUUCUGAACAUUUCUGAGAUGUGGUUUCCUCAGCUCUGAAGGGGGAUAAUCAUGGGGCCUACCUCAAAUGGAGUAUCAGGAGAACUCAAUGACAAGUGUCUGCCAGGGCCUGGCCUGGAGCUGGGGACACAGCUAUUUUGUGCUAUUUUUGGGACAUUGUGCUAUUUUUAGCACAUGGGGCCUGAUGAGGGGUGGAUUCCUGGCAUACAGGGCAAGCAGCUCCUCUCCUUGCUCCUCCCAGCCUAGCGUUUGGCUAAACAAUGUCAGGGUUGGCAACUAAAGACAGAAGCAUGAGGAGAUUGGUUUGAGGAGGAAGAGAGCUGGUGAGGGGCAGAGGAACUCCAACCCAGGACUGUUGGGACUGCAGCACUACUACCUUGCUUUCCUGAGUAAUGUCUCUGGGACUUCAUAUAAAUGAAAUCAUACACAGGAUCCCUGGGUGGCUCAGCGAUUGAGAGUCUG